AAAAUAAUUUAUAAUAUACUGUAAUUAUAUUUAUAGAAUUAAUUUUCUUUAUUUUU
rnacentral:tRNA from 1 species